GCCGGGAUGGUGGAAUUCUGGUAGACACGCACGCUUGAGGGGCGUGUGGGGCGACCCGUGCGGGUUCGAGUCCCGCUCCCGGCA
rnacentral:tRNA from 1 species